GGAAUAGAAAUGCAGAUCUUCACCCAUUUAUAUGACAAAGUGCAUCUAAGACUUCAAUAAUCUUAGUUUGGCAUACAUCAAAAAAGUUUCAAAAUUAAAUCUUACCUUUUACACUUGCAUUGUGGAUAUUGCAGAACAUUAGAUACAGCACCUUAGCUAUUAUCAGCCAUUCUUACAUUAUGUUGGAAGUUUGGUCGCAGAACUGGUGAAUGCUGAAAAGACCAUCUCAAGGAAAGCAAUAGUGCCCAUUGCUGAACCCUGCAAUCUAGUCCACAGCCUUUUGUGAAAA